ACUAGUUUAGUCUAGUGGUUAUCUACUGAUUCUUUAAAAGUGACUGUAAUCAAAAGGUUGUGGGUUCAAUUCCCACUACCAGCA